GAUGAACGCUGGCGGCGUGCCUAAUACAUGCAAGUCGAGCGAACGGACGAGAAGCUUGCUUCUCUGAUGUUAGCGGCGGACGGGUGAGUAACACGUGGAUAACCUACCUAUAAGACUGGGAUAACUUCGGGAAACCGUAGCUAAUACCGGAUAAUAUUUUGAACCGCAUGGUUCAAAAGUGAAAGACGGUCUUGCUGUCACUUAUAGAUGGAUCCGCGCUGCAUUAGCUAGUUGGUAAGGUAACGGCUUACCAAGGCAACGAUGCAUAGCCGACCUGAGAGGGGGUGCGGGCACCAGGGGAACGGAGCAAGGGCCCAGGCCCCAAGGGAGGGCGGAGGGGGGAAAGUUGCAGAAAGGGGGGAAAGCCGAAGGGGACAACGCGGGGGGGGGGAGGAGGGUUUCGGGUGCGAAAAACUUUUUUUUGGGGAAAAAAAAGAGGUGGAAGAAACGGGGAAAAUUUGAAGGGACCUAAAGAAGAAGCCCCGGCCAACUUCGUG
rnacentral:rRNA from 1 species